GACGAACGCUGGCGGCGUGCUUAACACAUGCAAGUCGAACGAAGAGCGAUGGAAGCUUGCUUCUCUCAAUCUUAGUGGCGAACGGGUGAGUAACGCGUAAUCAACCUGCCCUUCAGAGGGGGACAACAGUUGGAAACGACUGCUAAUACCGCAUACGAUCUAACCUCGGCAUCGAGGAAAGAUGAAAGGUGGCCUCUAUGUAUAAGCUAUCACUGAAGGAGGGGAUUGCGUCUGAUUAGCUAGUUGGAGGGGUAACGGCCCACCAAGGCGAUGAUCCGUAGCCGGUCUGAGAGGAUGAACGGCCACAUUGGGACUGAGACACGGCCCAGACUCCUACGGGAGGCAGCAGUGGGGAACCUUCCGCAAUGGACGAAAGUCUGACGGAGCAACGCCGCGUGAGUGAUGACGGCCUUCGGGUUGUAAAGCUCUGUUAAUCGGGACGAAAGGCCUUCUUGCGAAUAGUGAGAAGGAUUGACGGUACCGGAAUAGAAAGCCACGGCUAACUACGUG
rnacentral:rRNA from 1 species